rnacentral:snRNA from 1 species
AGCUUUGCACAGUGGCAGUAUCAACCAAUGAUAUAAUCUGAGGUGUGAUUAUUGCUAGUUGAAAAUCCCUCCUCUCCCCCUUCCUGGUGUAGAUGGGUACAGUACUACUGGACAGCAGAAACUGU